GGAGAGGGUAUUAGAGGAUAGAGUAAUGUUUAAAGCAGCUAAAAAAUUAUUCAGGUCCGGGGGUUCGAAUCCCUCACUCUCCG
rnacentral:tRNA from 1 species